UUGAGGUGGACCUGUCCCAUGUGUACUUGGCCUACACAGAGGAGAGUAUGAGACAGUCACUGAUGAAGCUGGAGAGGCCCAGGACCUCCAAGAGUGGUAGGCCCAAGACUGGACGAAGGAAAAGAUCAUCGAAGCCCGAGGCUGUGAUGGAAUCCCUGCUGCAGUGAAAGAGACCGGGAGAGAGCCAAUCAGGGCUGGAGCCCCAUGGACUGCAAUGAAUCUACACUACUAUACCUUAGGAUCAACAACAGCAGUCAGUCAAUAGUCGAGCCUGAAGAUCUUUAUUGUUGAACGUUGUUAUUUAAAAAGAUUUUAUCUUAAUACACUGUAUAGCCGAGUAAGGUUUUAAAUGUGAAUGGAGAGGAGACGUUGGUUGAUGAAUUGGUUGGUUGGUCGGUGAAGGAGGGACCAUGCAGCAGCCACUGUACUGCAGGAUGUAAGCUGCUUCCCAAAUGGCACCCUAUAGGGAGGGAAUAGGGGUGCCAUUUGGGCCUGGCCCUUAAACUGGGGGUUAAUGGUCAAGUCAAGGGGACCUUGUAUUGUAAUAAACGGAGGCUUGUUGAGGAUA